rnacentral:pre_miRNA from 1 species
AGUGUAAUUGCUGGAUUACAUGGUGAGUCAAUGUUUAAUUUUUUGAGAAACAGCCAUAUUGUUUUCCACAGUGGUUGUACCAUUUUACAUUCCUAACAGCAAU